GAUGAACGCUGGCGGCGUGCUUAACACAUGCAAGUCGAACGGUGAAGGCGGAGCUUGCUCUGCUGGAUCAGUGGCGAACGGGUGAGUAACACGUGAGCAAUCUGCCCCUGACUCUGGGACAAGCGCUGGAAACGGCGUCUAAUACUGGAUACGAGCUGCGAAGGCAUCUUCAGCAGCUGGAAAGAAUUUCGGUCAGGGAUGAGCUCGCGGCCUAUCAGCUUGUUGGUGAGGUAAUGGCUCACCAAGGCGUCGACGGGUAGCCGGCCUGAGAGGGUGACCGGCCACACUGGGACUGAGACACGGCCCAGACUCCUACGGGAGGCAGCAGUGGGGAAUAUUGCACAAUGGGCGAAAGCCUGAUGCAGCAACGCCGCGUGAGGGACGACGGCCUUCGGGUUGUAAACCUCUUUUAGCAGGGAAGAAGCGAAAGUGACGGUACCUGCAGAAAAAGCGCCGGCUAACUACGUG
rnacentral:rRNA from 1 species